rnacentral:rRNA from 1 species
UUCGGGAAACCGGAGCUAAUACCGGAUAAUAUUCGAACCGCAUGGUUCGAUAGUGAAAGGUGGUUUUGCUAUCACUUAUAGAUGGACCCGCGCCGUAUUAGCUAGUUGGUAAGGUAACGGCUUACCAAGGCGACGAUACGUAGCCGACCUGAGAGGGUGAUCGGCCACACUGGAACUGAGACACGGUCCAGACUCCUACGGGAGGCAGCAGAC